rnacentral:rRNA from 1 species
CCAAAACUGUACACAUCAGUCUUGAUAGUUAGCUGGCCUGUUUUUAUAUAUUCUGGAGCACAGUACCCAUAUGUGCCCAUCACUCGAGUUGAGACGUGCGUCUUUUCCCCAACAGGCCCAAGCUUUGCGAGCCCGAAGUCUGAGAGUUUAGGGUUGUAUUCCUCAUCAAGAAGGAUGUUGGGGGACUUGAGAUCCCGGUAG